UUGACCUCGGAUCAGGUAGGGAUACCCGCUGAACUUAAGCAUAUCAAUAAGCGGAGGAAAAGAAACCAACAGGGAUUGCUCUAGUAACGGCGAGUGAAGCAGCAAUAGCUCAAAUUUGAAAUCUGGCGUCUUCGACGUCCGAGUUGUAAUUUGUAGAGGAUGCUUCUGAGUAACCACCGACCUAAGUUCCUUGGAACAGGACGUCAUAGAGGGUGAGAAUCCCGUAUGCGGUCGGAAAGUGCUCUAUACGUAGCUCCUUCGACGAGUCGAGUUGUUUGGGAAUGCAGCUCUAAAUGGGAGGUAAAUUUCUUCUAAAGCUAAAUAUUGGCCAGAGACCGAUAGCGCACAAGUAGAGUGAUCGAAAGAUGAAAAGCACUUUGGAAAGAGAGUUAAAAAGCACGUGAAAUUGUUAAAAGGGAAGGGAUUGCAACCAGACUUGCUCGCGGUGUUCCGCCGGUCUUCUGACCGGU
rnacentral:rRNA from 1 species